rnacentral:rRNA from 1 species
AACGAACGCUGGCGGCAUGCCUAACACAUGCAAGUCUAACGAGACCUUCGGGUCUAGUGGCGCACGGGUGCGUAACGCGUGGGAACCUGCCCUUAGGUUCGGAAUAACGCCCCGAAAGGGGUGCUAAUACCGGAUAAUGUCUUCGGACCAAAGAUUUAUCGCCUUUGGAUGGGCCCGCGUUGGAUUAGCUAGUUGGUAGGGUAAAAGCCUACCAAGGCGACGAUCCAUAGCUGGUCUGAGAGGAUGAUCAGCCACACUGGGACUGAGACACGGCCCAGACUCCUACGGGAGGAAGCAGUGGGGAAUACUGGACCAUGGGCGAAAGACUGAUCAAGCAAUGCCGCGUGAGUGAUGAAGGAAUUAGGGUUGUAAAGCUCUUUUACCCGGGAUGAUAAUGACAGUACCGGGAGAAUCAGCUCCGGCUAACUCCGUG